rnacentral:rRNA from 1 species
AGUGAACGCUGGCGGUAGGCCUAACACAUGCAAGUCGAACGGCAGCACAGUAAGAGCUUGCUCUUACGGGUGGCGAGUGGCGGACGGGUGAGGAGUACAUCGGAAUUUACUUUUUCGUGGGGGAUAACGUAGGGAAACUUACGCUAAUACCGCAUACGACCUACGGGUGAAAGCAGGGGAUCUUCGGACCUUGCGCGAUUGAAUGAGCCGAUGUCGGAUUAGCUAGUUGGCGGGGUAAAGGCCCACCAAGGCGACGAUCCGUAGCUGGUCUGAGAGGAUGAUCAGCCACACUGGAACUGAGACACGGUCCAGACUCCUACGGGAGGCAGCAGUGGGGAAUAUUGGACAAUGGGCGCAAGCCUGAUCCAGCCAUACCGCGUGGGUGAAGAAGGCCUUCGGGUUGUAAAGCCCUUUUGUUGGGAAAGAAAAGCAGCAGGUUAAUACCCCGCUGUUCUGACGGUACCCAAAGAAUAAGCACCGGCUAACUUCGUG